rnacentral:rRNA from 1 species
UACAGAGGUCUCAAGCGUUGUUCGGAUUCAUUGGGCGUAAAGGGCGCGUAGGCUGCGGGGCAAGUCGGGUGUGAAAUCUCAGAGCUCAACUCUGAAACUGCACUCGAUACUGCUUUGCUUGAGGACUGGAGAGGAGAUUGGAAUUCACGGUGUAGCAGUGAAAUGCGUAGAUAUCGUGAGGAAGACCAGUGGCGAAGGCGGCUAUCUGGGACGGUUUCUGACGCUAAGACGCGAAAGCGUGGGGAGCAAACAGG